rnacentral:rRNA from 1 species
AUUGAACGCUGGCGGCAGGCCUAACACAUGCAAGUCGAACGAGUGGCGGACGGGUGAGUAAUGUCUGGGAACCUGCCCGACGUAGGGGGAUAACUACUGGAAACGGUAGCUAAUACCGCAUACCAUCGGAUCUGCCCAGAUGGGAUGAGCUAGUAGGUGGGGUAACGGCUCACCUAGGCGACGAUCCCUAGCUGGUCUGAGCGGAUGACAGGCCACACUGGAACUGAGACACGGUCCAGACUCCUACGGGAGGCAGCAGUGGGGAAUAUUGCGCAAUGGGCGCAAGCCUGAUGCAGCCAUGCCGCGUGUAUGAAGAAGGCCUUCGGGUUGUAAAGUACUUUCAGCGAGGAGGCGUUACUCGCAGAAUAAGCACCGGCUAACUCCGUGCCAGCAGCCGCGGUAAUAC